CCUACGGGUGGCAGCAGUGAGGAAUAUUGGUCAAUGGGCGGGAGCCUGAACCAGCCAAGUCGCGUGAGGGAAGACGGUCCUAUGGAUUGUAAACCUCUUUAGGCGGGGAGCAAUGCCGGGCACGUGUGCCCGGAGGGAGAGUACCCGCAGAAUAAGCAUCGGCUAACUCCGUGCCAGCAGCCGCGGUAAUACGGAGGAUGCGAGCGUUAUCCGGAUUUAUUGGGUUUAAAGGGUGCGUAGGCGGAUUUUUAAGUCAGCGGUAAAAUCGAGAGGCUCAACCUCUUUCCGCCGUUGAAACUGUCGGUCUUGAGUGGGCGAGAAGUAUGCGGAAUGCGUGGUGUAGCGGUGAAAUGCAUAGAUAUCACGCAGAACUCCGAUUGCGAAGGCAGCAUACCGGCGCCCGACUGACGCUGAGGCACGAAAGCGUGGGUAUCGAACAGGAUUAGAUACCCCGGUAGUC
rnacentral:rRNA from 1 species